rnacentral:lncRNA from 1 species
GGUUCCCAAGCUAGGGGUCGGAUGGAGCUACAGCUGCCGCCCUACGCCACAGCCACAGCAACGUGGGAUCCGAGCUGCGUCUGCAACCUACACCACAGCUCACAGCAAACCAGAUCCUUAACCCACUGAGCGAGGCCAGAGAUUAAACCUGCAAACCUCAUGGGUCCUAGUCGGAUUCCUUUCCACUGGGCCAAACGGGAACUCCCCACUCUUCUAUUGAAGUUCUUUUUGAUACCUUAGAUAGUAAACUAAAAAUUAAACCUGCAACUUUGUUUACAUAUGCCACCAAACAGUAGCAGUAGGCACCAAACAUUUAAGACAAAUUUCUGCAAGCAAAGAAUUAAGAAACUAUAGAGUGUCAUUAUGUGAAUGGUGCUCCACGCAGAGAGCAGUACAAUUCAGGGGCCUGACUCACUUUUAUUAACAGUAAACACUAUGCACAGUUCAGAAUGUCAAUCAAUAAACAUUUCACAUCUACUAUGUGCUAGACAGUAUGUUAGGAUUGCACACCCUGUGGUUACCAAGACUGGCAUUAAACUCAUAAUUACAGAGACUAAGUCAAGGUAUUAUGGCAACUUAACAGCCUCCCCACUGUCCCUCUCUCUACUCCCUGCAAAACGUCCUCUGGGGUGACAGAAAGUCAAUUUUAAUCUUAGAAAUCUGAAGAAAGUUGUCCUCAAACUAAACUCCUGCCAGAAAAAGUUUUAUGCCAUGCUUUAUAUUCCUAUAGUUUUAAAAAUACAUAUUUAUAUAGAAAAUAUGUAAUAGACAUACUAUGGUAUGUAACAGUAAUAAGUAGUACUAUACACAGUAUUAAACAUAUACAUUAUAUAGUUUUAUAUAUAUUUUAUAUAUACACACAUACACACCGUGUUAUAGUCAUACACAGCAUGUUUUAUGGUAGUUUUACUGUAACUAUACUGCCACAAAGUUCUUCACUUUUUUACUUAAGUAAAAUAAGCCAUUGUAUUCCUCAGAGGUCAUAAUUAGACAUCAAGUAAGGAAAAAGUAAAGCUUUUGAGCCCCUAUUCCAGGGGAAAGUCUUAAGUUGUAAAUGUCUAUUCUGAGUGAUCCUCUUCAGUAAGGAAUCUCCAUUCCCUGAAAAAGUGUAAAAUUUUAUGUAUGACUUGAAGAAUCAAAAUUUUAAAAAUCUAAAAAUAUACUUAGAAUUUUUGUGACUUCAUGUCACAAAAACUGCUGUUCAUCCCAAACCAAAAAUGCCUCAAUGGGCUAUGAAAUAGUUCAAAUCUACCUUCGUACCCAAUCCUAACAAAGCCUAUUAAAUCUGAGGUUUACCACUGAUUGCAGUAAAACUAAAAAUUAUACCGUGUUUAUUACUUUUAUCUACUCACAAUAUACGUUUUCAGGUAAAUUAAUUUUCUGGUACUAAAUCCUGUGUCUCAAGCCUUGAACAGAGACUCUUAUUUUUUUGCCCCCUACAACAGUUACCCUCACCACCCACCCAGAAUGCUUGCAGCCCUCUCCUCCCGGAACUCCAAACCACUACCACCCAAACACACUUCCACAAAACAAAAAGAUCUAGGACAGUGAUAUAAAACUGGGACUCUCAGCUGCAUGUGGCUCUUUCAUUCACCAACCUGUCGGAUUUCAAAUUUCUGUCAGAACAACACAGCACCAUUCUGUGUUCAAAACAGUAGUGGUGUGGGUUUUCUGGCUAAUGGUAACUACAAAUGUAGCUCAAGAAUCCCACAAUUCAAUGGCACUGGUUUAGAAAAGACAAUUUUUAAAAAUAAAAAUGUACAAGUGAUGGGAAUGUGGCAAUUACAUUUUCUCCCUAUCAGAUUCAAAAUAUUUCAUUUGCAAAUCCAAUAGAAAUUUGUGGAAAACGGAAGUGUAAUCUGUAACAAUGUGGCCAUUUAAGUCCUAUUACAAUCAUACACAUAUAAUUUUCAGAUGUGGCCUGACUUAUAAUCAUAUUAGAAAUAGUAUGUACCAAAGUACACUUAAUCCUAAAUCAGUAAGACUAGAAGAGUAAAAAAUAAAGUCUAAAACAACAAAAAAUUCUAAUUACAAAGUACAGUUGGAGAGAAAUAAUACCAGUAUCCAAAUAUCAAGAUGAAUUUUUAAUAAAAUCUAUUUAAAGCAGAUAAAAUUUGAAAACACAAGCCAUUUAAGAUGACCUUAAUUCCUAUCCCCUGGUCAUUAUGACAAGAAUCCAAUAACUAUAUAUUUUCAAUCUUUUCAAACAGUUCACUCGUAUUUCUAAAAGCAGUUAUAACAAAUGUAUAAAAACUGGAAUCACAUAAAAGUACUGCUUUUUAGAGUUCCACGGUAGCAUGGCAGGUUAAGAACCUGGCACCAUUACUGUAGUGGCUCAGGUCAUUAUUGUGGCAUGGGUUUGAUCCCUGGCCUGGGAACUUCUACAUGCCCCAGGUGCAGCUAAAAACUAAAAAAUAAAGUACCACUUUCUUAUAACUAAUUUUUAUUUACAAAAAAAUGUCCUGGCCUUUUAAAGUCACUUCAGCUUCUGGACAAGACAGAUAAGAGGGACCAAAUUUACCCUACCACUUUAAACAGGUGGAAAAAAAUAAUAAUAACAAAAUACAUGAAACAUGAAUUUCUAACCACUAGACAUCACCAGACAGCUCAGGACAGUGAUUCCUUGAGAAAAAAAUGCACACAGGAAGGCCCCUGUGGUGCAGAGAGAGAGAGAAGUAAAGUGGCCAGAGCUCACAAGUACUGAAAAGAAAGUGCUGCUCAGGGAGAGAACUCCAGAGUCCUGAUUGAGUGCUUAUCAGCACAUGCAGGGAAAGACACCAAACGCAACCCAAUGCCAAGAGAAGAACACCCACAAGGGAGAGAAGGAGCAGCCAGGGCUCCCAUUAAAAGUGUUCCCACUUGUUAGAGAAGAAAAUCUUCUAUUCCCAGGGCAUUGGGCAAAAUACUAAGAAUGGUAUUGCUGCUGCAAAGGGGAAAGGUAAGCCUUCCGAGCUGCCCUGAUCACUUUUUUUCUUUUUUUUUUUUUGCUUUUUAGGGCCACACUUUCAGCAUAUGGAUGUAUGGAUGUUCCAAGGCUAGGGGUCGAACAGAAGCUGGAGCCUCCGGCCUCUGGCCUACGCCACAGCAAUGAGGGGUCUGAGCCACGUCUGCUACCUACACCACAGCUCACAGCAACACCAGAUCCUUAACCCAUUGAGUGAGGCUGGGGAUCCAACCUGCAUCCUCAUGGAUACUAGUCAGAUUUGUUUCUGCUGAGCCACAAUGGGAACUCCCCUCUGAUUACUCUUGACAAAGCUUAAAAGCAAGUCUCCAAAGGAUCAGACUUCUUCCAAGGAACUUGAACUGCAUCUCAACCACAAAGCUCAAGAAUACAUUUGAGAAUACAAAAGUACCCAAAAAAAGGUGAAAUUCAUAUCUAGUAUUCAAUAAAAGAAAAAAAAAGUUUGGAAAUGUGAUGGGGAAAAAUAAUCAACAAAAACAGACGCAGAAAGGGACACAGAUAAUAAAAUUGACAAAGACAAUAAAUGUUGUCUUUUCUGUAAGUUCUAAAUGAAUGGCAAAUACCUAAGUGUGUUAGGUGGAGUCAUGGCAAUUAUAGAACUCAAACCAAACUUCUAAAUAUAAAAAAUAUAAUACCUGAGUAUCUGGAAAAUACACUGGAUGGGAUUAAUGGUAUAUUAAAUAUUGCAAAAGAUAAAUAUACAUGAAAACAUAGCACUAGAAAUUUUCAAAAUGAAACAAAAGUAAAAAAAUAAAAGACUUUGAACAGAACAUCAGUGAGCUGUGGAAUGACUUUGAUAACCUAAUAUACAAAGGGGAAAGGGGCAGAAAAAAUAUUUGAAAAAAUUAACGGCCCCCAAAUUUUCCAAAUAUAUUGAAAACUAUAAACUCACAACAACCCCCAAGCACAAGAAAUAUGAAAAAAACUACAAGGCAAAUCAUAAUUAAACUGCAUAAAACCAGAAAUAAACAGUACAUUCUAAAAGCAGCCAAGCGGGGGGAGACAAUAUACACAAGAUCAAAGACAAGGAUGGUGGCAGACUUCUCCUAGGAAACAAUGCAAGCCACAGGACAGCUGAACAACAUCCUCCAGUAUUUUUUUUAAAAUUUUUUUAUUACUCAAUGAAUUUAUUAACAUCCUCCAAUACUGAAUAAAAAAAUUGUUGGAGUUCCCGUCGUGGCGCAGUGCGGUUAAUGAAUCUGACUAAGAACCAUGAGGUUGCAGGUUCAAUCCCUGGCCUUGCUCAGUGGGUUAAGGAUCUGGCGUUGCCAUGAGCUGAGGUAUAGGUCACAGACGUGGCUUAGAUCCCAAGUUUCUGUGGUUGUGGCGUAGGCCAGCACCUACAACUCCAAUCAGACCCCUAGCCUGGGAAUCUCCAUAUGCCACGGGUGCGGCCCUAAAAAAGACAAAAUACAUACAUACAUACAAUGAUUGUCAGAUUGGGAAAGAAGUCCCAACUAUAUGCUGCUUAAAAUAAACCCAUAUUAAAUAUUUUUAAAGUCAUGUACCAGCUAUCGCUUGUCAAGACACUAAUCAGUACAAAAAACUUGUCCUGCAGGGACUUAAAAGUAUCAAUGUGUAGUACAAAGCAACAAAGAUUCAUGGACAGGUGGAGAGAAAGGGAAAUAUACAAGAGAAUGAUAAAGAUUUAUUAAGUUUCAAUUCUCCACAUUACUGGAGUCUGUAUAUAUCAAAUUCUAUUUACUCCUCUUUAUGGCAAAAGCUCUCUUCUCAAAAGUCUGGGGUUGGGGAGUUCCCAUUGUGGUGCAAUGGAAAUGAAUACAACCAGUAUCCAUGAGGACUUGGGUUCCAUCCCUGGCCUCGCUCAUUGGGUUAGGGAUCCGGUGUUGACUGAGCUGUGGUGUAGUUCACAGACACGGCUUGGAUCCCCCGUUGCUGUGGCUGUGGCUAGCAGCUGCAUCUCCCAUUCGACCGUCACCUGGAAACGUCCAGAUGCCGUGGGUGCAGCCCUAAAAAANAAAAAAAAAAAAAAAAAAAACAACAACAAAAAAAACCAGGGAUUGGUAAAAAUGCAGUUUAUCAGAAUUAUAGAUAACCUUGCAGCACUCUGGGUUAAGGACCUGGUGUUAUCACUGCAGUGGCUCAGGUCACUGCUGUGGGAUGGGUUUGAUUCCUGACCUGGGAACUUCCACAGGCCAUGGGUAUAGCCAAAAAAAAAAAAAAAGCUGCUUAUCCAAUAAACUAUUCUCAUUCAGAUCAGACGGAGGCUACUCCUUCUAUUAAAAAACAAAACAAAAAGCAACCAAAUACUAUGUCCAUGCUUUAUAAAAUGCAACAAGACACGUGAUUUUCAACACACCAGAAAUCCUUUGAAUUUCAAGUUGGGAUCCACCAUGGCUAAAAAUAAAUAUAUGGUAAGCUGGACUUGGGUAAAGCAGGCAACAUUCCCCAAAUUUAGUCCCUGCUCUUCAGAAAAAAGCAAAUCUAUCACUUAAUAUUUCACAGUUAACACAUUACUAUCAUUCUGGGACACCAAUAUCCUGGAAUUCUGAGAGAUUUUCUAAUACUGUGAUAAGUCUAGCUCAGUCCCCCUAAAUCUAAAGAGACGCUGAUUAGACUCCCUGUUUUUAAAUUCUGGCUCCUGGUAUGAUCAUGGUCAAUUACUUAACUUUAUGCUUCAACUUCCUCAUCUGUAGUAAAACAGAGGAAAAACAGAACAGUGUAAUUUUUUUUGAAGAAUACUUUUUAUAGUAAUAAUUGCUAUUAUAUAUUGAGAGUUCCCUCUGAGCAGAGCACUACUCUCAGGGCUGUAUGUAAGUAUAUAUUUAAAGCCUAAAAAACCUAUGAGGUAACAAGCAUUUUCAUCUCAAUUUUAUAGAUAAGGAAACCGAGGUGGGAGAGAUUUACAUUUCCCCCAAAUUUACAUACUAUGAACUAUUUAGUGAUAAGAGCUUUAUCCUCUUCAUUUUGAGUAAUCCCAGCUUCUAGCACAAAGAGCAUAAAACAUAUCAAUGGAAGUUGCUGAAUGAAUUCUGGCAUGGUCCUGUUUGUCUAUACAUCAGUUACUCGUGCAUGGGUAGGAAUCAGAAGUCUGGUGUUCUCUCCCAACCACACCAGUCUUCAGCUAAGUCACAUCACCUCCCUAGAUCUGAGUGUCCUCAUUUGUAAAAUGAGGAAUUGAACUAGAUCUAAGUAGCCUUUCAACUCAAAAAUUUCCAAGAAAAGCCAAUAUUGUUCUUCGGAAGAAAAAGAGUCGCCCCUGACUAGGUGAGUGGAAGAACCUCGAAAUUUUCAGAAUAACAUUUAGAGUCCUUUUUUUUUUUUUGGCUGCCCCCCCACCCACGGCAUAUGGAAUUACAGAGCCAGGGAUCAGAUCUGAGCCGCAAUUGCAACCUAAGCCGAAGGUGCAGCAAUGCAGGAUCCUUAACCCACUGUGCCGGGCUGGGGAUUAAACCUGUGUU